GACGAACGCUGGCGGCGUGCUUAACACAUGCAAGUCGAACGGAAAGGCCCUGCUUUUGUGGGGUGCUCGAGUGGCGAACGGGUGAGUAACACGUGAGUAACCUGCCCUUGACUUUGGGAUAACUUCAGGAAACUGGGGCUAAUACCGGAUAGGAGCUCCUGCUGCAUGGUGGGGGUUGGAAAGUUUCGGUGGUUGGGGAUGGACUCGCGGCUUAUCAGCUUGUUGGUGGGGUAGUGGCUUACCAAGGCUUUGACGGGUAGCCGGCCUGAGAGGGUGACCGGCCACAUUGGGACUGAGAUACGGACCAGACUCCUACGGGAGGCAGCAGUGGGGAAUAUUGCACAAUGGGCGGAAGCCUGAUGCAGCAACGCCGCGUGCGGGAUGACGGCCUUCGGGUUGUAAACCGCUUUCGCCUGUGACGAAGCGUGAGUGACGGUAAUGGGUAAAGAAGCACCGGCUAACUACGUG
rnacentral:rRNA from 1 species